AAUAUAAGGGCAAAGUUUGCGAAAGCAUACGACGCAAAACUAUAGGGUCUUCAAGUUUAUUAUGACAGCCAGUUGCA
rnacentral:ncRNA from 2 species